GGGCCAUAGCUUAGUUGAAGAGCACCUGUCUUGCAUGCAGAAGGUCGCAGGUUCAAUCCUUGGCAGCUCCC